CACUCCCCAUAGGCUACUCCAUUCUGGCCCUAUUUAUCCUCAUCUCCCCAAAGCUCCUGCACCCCGCCUUUCUCCUCCCAACCUCCCCCUCGUUCUAGCCCCAGCUUCCCUCUGCCUCCACUUCACCCUAUUAAGAAACAACCGCCCCACAGAAGCCUCUGCCCCUGGCGGCAGCUCCCUGAGCCCCGCCCUCCCUCCCUCCUCCUGCAACUGCUCCUCUCCCUGACAGAUGCCUCAGAGCCCCGGGCCGCAGUUAAGGUGACGAGAUGCAGCAAUUCUUUAUGAACAUUUCAUUCCUGCUCGCUACACGACGUAAAUUAGAUGGUGUGUUACAUUCGGGCAAUAAGAGAGAUAUGUCACCACGACGCUGGCCCAUUGGAUGGAGAGGGGGUUUGGCGAAGAGCGGAAAGGAUUUCACCCUGAUGUGCACACUACUGAGUGACCCCGCUCACCAGCGGCUCUGCUGAUUGCUUUGCACCUUGCAGACUUCGAUACUGGCUCAGCCUCUUGCCGGCCUCGCUCCCUCCGCUCCCUCUGGGUCUCCAGCCCACCCUUCCCCUGCCUGGCUUUCUCUUGAAGUCAAAGCCAAGAGACCUAACAGAGGAGUCACAAAGGUCACGAAGGGAUGGAUGUCUCUGUGGGGAGGAGCAGGGCAGCAGAGCUA
ensembl:lincRNA Gm28578 predicted gene 28578